rnacentral:lncRNA from 1 species
UGUGAGAGCGACCUCGCUGACAGCAACCUCGCAGAAAGUGAUCGAGGAACUCACGACGACGAUGUUGUGGAGGCCGGUGGGAGUGAGAAGACUGAGGCAAAGCCCCGGGCUGGGGGACAUGAGGACGAGGCGGCCCCAGUACCUGAGGUGGAGGUGGAGGAGGAGGCGGGCCAGCCCCGUGAAAAUGGCCAGGAGGAGUCCUUAGCCAUCGCCUGGGCUGAGCCGGAAGACGAGCCUGGCCCCAAGGUGGACGGGGCGGACGAUGAAAUCUCUUGGAGCUUGGAGAGUGUGUGUGAGAGCGACCUCGCUGACAGCAACCUCGCAGAAAGUGAUCGAGGU